UACAGAGGUCUCAAGCGUUGUUCGGAUUCAUUGGGCGUAAAGGGUGCGUAGGCGGCGCGGUAAGUCGGGUGUGAAAUCUCGGAGCUUAACUCCGAAACUGCAUUCGAUACUGCCGUGCUUGAGGACUGGAGAGGAGACUGGAAUUUACGGUGUAGCGGUGAAAUGCGUAGAUAUCAAGAGGAACACCAGUGGCGAAGGCGAGUCCCUGGACGAUACCUGACACUGAGGCACGAAAGCUAGGGGAGCAAACAGG
rnacentral:rRNA from 1 species